rnacentral:lncRNA from 1 species
UCACCUCCCACUUUCUCACUCUCCUCCUCUUCAUCAUCUCUCUUAGCUUGCCUUCUCAAACUCUAGCAAAUUACCCUUACUCAUCUCCUCCUCCUCCGCCUCCUAAGGAGUACUCACCACCCCCUUACUACUACAAGUCACCACCUCCUCCUCCUCCGGUCUACUCCCCACCACCACCCAAGGAGCCUUACAAGUAUAAGUCUCCACCACCUCCUCCACCAGUGCAUUAUCCUCCACCCCCUUACGAGUACAAGUCUCCUCCGCCACCCCCGCCAUCACCACCCAAGCAUCCCUAUAAGUACAAGUCUCCACCUCCACCAUCACCACCCAAGCACCCUUACAAGUACAAGUCUCCACCACCCCCACCAUCACCACCCAAGCACCCCUACAAGUACAAGUCUCCUCCACCACCUCCACCAUCACCACCCAAGCACCCCUACAAGUAUAAGUCUCCACCACCCCCACCAUCACCACCCAAGCAUCCUUACAAGUACAAGUCUCCACCACCACCACCACCAUCACCACCCAAGCACCCCUACAAGUACAAGUCUCCUCCACCUCCACCAUCACCACCCAAGCAUCCUUACAAGUACAAGUCUCCACCACCACCACCAUCACCACCCAAGCACCCCUACAAGUACAAGUCUCCUCCACCCCCACCAUCACCACCCAAGCACCCUUACAAGUACAAGUCUCCACCACCACCUCCACCAUCACCACCCAAGCACCCUUACAAGUACAAGUCUCCACCCCCACCAUCACCACCCAAGCAUCCCUACAAGUACAAGUCUCCACCCCCACCCCCACCCCCACCCUCACCACCCAAGCACCCCUACAAGUACAAGUCUCCACCCCCACCCUCACCACCCAAGCACCCUUACAAGUAUAAGUCU